rnacentral:rRNA from 1 species
UACAGAGGUCUCGAGCGUUAGGCGGAAUCACUGGGCUUAAAGCGUGUGUAGGCGGGUCGUUAAGUGCCUUGUGAAAUCCCAUGGCUCAACCAUGGAACUGCUGGGCAUACUGGCGAUCUUGUGCCACCUAGGGGCGAGCGGAACAGAUGGUGGAGCGGUGAAAUGCGUAGAGAUUAGGAAGAACACCAGUGGCGAAGGCGGCUUUCUGGACUGUAACUGACGCUGAGGCAUGAAAGCGUGGGGAGCAAACAGG